rnacentral:ncRNA from 1 species
AAAAAAGCAAUGAUGAAAGAGUAAGUAGCCUAAUGAAUGUUACAAGAGAGCUGACGGGUGGUGUGAGUCAGCAGCUGACAUUAGUGCGAAUGGACUUUCUAGCUCUGAACCGAACCGCAGUGCGAAGUAGGAUUCAGCGACUAAGCCUUAUCGUUAUACAAGGCACCAUUUGGCCUGAAAGGCAGAUGGAAUAAAGUGAACUUAUUCGUAAGUUAAACAAGGUGGCACCACGGGUUUCUCGUCCUUGUC